UUGGCAGCACAUAGAGUAAAAAAAAAAAAAAAAUAGAGUGAUACAGAGAAGAUUAGCACAGUCACUGCACGAGGAUGACACGAAAAUCUGUGAAGUGUUCUAUGUUUUU
rfam:Mus musculus chromosome 3, GRC primary reference assembly.